GGACGUGUGGCCGAGAGGUCUAAGGCGCUAGCUUCAGGAAAUUGAGUAUGCUAGUCUCUUCGGAGGCGUGAGUUCGAACCUCACCGCGUUCA